GUGUACGGAGGAACGCUGCGGGAAACUGCAGAGGAAAGUCCGGACAGGCACAGGCUGAGAUGCUUGUAGUGAUUGUGCGUGACCCAAUAAGUCACGGAAGGGCGAGUAAAGUCCUUACGGCGGUGAAAUCGACUCUUGUUAGUCGAAAGUGACCUGAAAGUGCCACAGAAACAAUUCGUUCCGGCGACGGGACGGUGCAAGGGUAAACCCCACAAGCCUGAAACUCGAAUAAUGGUAGAGGAACCCUAUGAAAGGAAUCUUGAACUGGAUUAGGGCGCAUGAAUAUGCGAGAUAAAUGUUCCUUAGAACAAAACCCGGCUUACGGUA
rnacentral:RNase_P_RNA from 1 species